rnacentral:rRNA from 1 species
GUGGGGAAUUUUCCGCAAUGGGCGAAAGCCUGACGGAGCAAUGCCGCGUGGAGGUGGAAGGCCUACGGGUCGUCACUUCUUUUCUCGGAGAAGAAACAAUGACGGUAUCUGAGGAAUAAGCAUCGGCUAACUCUGUGCUAG